rnacentral:rRNA from 1 species
CCUACGGGCGGCAGCAGUGGGGAAUAUUGGACAAUGGGGGGAACCCUGAUCCAGCCAUGCCGCGUGUGUGAAGAAGGCCCUCGGGUUGUAAAGCACUUUCAGUGAGGAAGAACGCCUGGUGGUUAAUACCCAUCAGGAAAGACAUCACUCACAGAAGAAGCACCGGCUAACUCCGUGCCAGCAGCCGUGGUAAUACGGAGGGUGCGAGCGUUAAUCGGAAUUACUGGGCGUAAAGCGCGCGUAGGUGGCUUGAUAAGCCGGUUGUGAAAGCCCCGGGCUCAACCUGGGAACGGCAUCCGGAACUGUCAAGCUAGAGUGCAGGAGAGGAAGGUAGAAUUCCCGGUGUAGCGGUGAAAUGCGUAGAGAUCGGGAGGAAUACCAGUGGCGAAGGCGGCCUUCUGGACUGACACUGACACUGAGGUGCGAAAGCGUGGGUAGCAAACAGGAUUAGAUACCCUUGUAGUC